AAGCGUGAAACUGCAUGGGGAAACACAAGAAGGCUUGUCUCUGCAGACAGGCAAAGGUGAGGGCAUGAAGAUGUAUAACCGUCCCAGGUGGGAGAAGAGCACAGUUCACCCCCUCAGGAUUUGAAACAGGAAGUUGAAAUGCAUCCUGAAAUUUACUUUGCCCAGAGGUGUGGGAAAAGCUGCUUCCUCUUGUAAAUGCAGAUACUGUGAACAACUUAUGUAUAAAUGGAAAAACAGCACCUGAGUUGUUCAAGUAAAGCAGCAUUGUUAUACAGAAAUAAUGGUUGAAUCCUAUUUUCCUGCAUGCUCAUAGAAUGUGUGAGCUCUGCUGACCUCAAAUCUCUCUCAGUUUAAGAAGCUGYGAAAAACUCUUCCUAAACUUUCCACUGAAGGGAAAUGUGUGAGCCCCUUUACACAUUGGCAGCUUUUGAAGGAAAGGCAAAACUUCCCUCAGAUAUGAAUCCUCACCUUAUGUGGGCUGAWGUCCUGCUUCCAGAGAAGCAUGCUGGUUUGAUGACCCCGUGCCAGCCCUGGAACACAGUGGAGGAGACUGCUUAGAACAUUUUGUGCCACUCUGGAGUGAAUUCCAGAGCCCAGGCCCUGCACUGACACAUUUCCAUCCAUCCCCUGCAAUGCAUGUGGCAGCAGUAUUCCAUCUGUUUCUAAUGAGGCAUAGCGGGGGAGGAAAUCUUMUGCAUAAACAUCUCCCACAUCACUUAUGACUCCAUUGAAGAACAUCUUUGCAACAGAAUUAAUUUGUGACAGAGAUUUUUAGCUAUUUGUUUAUUAUAAUACCUGUGGAUAUCGAACAGGAGAGAUUAGCCAGUUCCUAAACCUGGCAAAUUCCUUGGCUGCAAUCCUUCCUGUGUUCUGGGAGCCAAUUCCAGCACAAAUUCUUGUUGUAAAGGUCUUGCCUGUAUUCCCCAAAGUACAGAUGAUAAUUUUGUAUGUACCUAUGCUAUUACAGGGGGAGGGAGAUGUAGCUAGAUUUAAUUCUAAACAAAGAGCAAGCUGUUCCUUAUUUAAUUCCGGUUAUAAACAAGUUAUAGCAAGAUAGAAAUGGAGGGUGAAACAAAGGAACAAAAAAAUACCACUUUGCAUAGGCUUUCUUUUAAAAUCUUUGUUUCUUUGUACAGAAGAGCACUGCAAUGAUUUUUUUAGAGGGAAAUAGUUUACUGUGAUGUGUAUGAAAUAGAAUUUUGAUAGACAGAAUAAGCUGCAAUCCAGCUCUAAACUAUAGAUUUCCAAGCAGAUUGAUGCAACAAAUUGUUAGCAAAUAGCAGUUUGCAAUUUGAUGCUAAUUAGACAUAAGGCAAAUAUGUGCCAUGACAAAUUAGCAGCAAACCAUACUGAAAAGGAUUAGCAAGAGCUGGCACAGAGACUGCUCGAUUUUGCAUACUUCCUUGUCUUAGUCUAGGAGGUCUGAGCCAGUUUUCCUUCUCUGUAAAUAGGAAACCAGAGCAGAGAUCACAGGCAUGCUAGAAUGCCUUUAAUUGCAUAUUUGAAAUGUUUUAACUCUCUCUUAAUCCCAUGGAGGCUUUUCUCCAUACCACCAGCUUUAUUAUCCUGGGAGAUGAUCAAGUGCUUUAUCCAUUUAAUAUUAUAACUAAAUACAUUAUGAGGUAAGUAACUCACGGGGUUAUUUACUUUAGCAAGUCUAUUGUACUUAUAGAUUUAAGAAAAAGCCCCAUUCUUAUUCAAAACACCUUUGCUUAACUUCCUGCAAAUGUGUUUUUCAGCGGAUUUAAUUAUUCAUUUCAUUAAUAAAUUAAUUUUUGCUAGAGGAUUAUCACAUUUCUUUAUUGAUGUGCACAAUGCCAUUGUGGUAGUUAGUGUAGAUCAAACACUUCACCGUAUCCAGAUGAGAUAAUGCAGUUGUGUUUUCAAAGCAGGGAGGAGCAGGGGGUAAUUUCUGUGCCAGUUCCUCAGAGCUGUGCCUCAAUACCAGCACAGCUGUAAGUGUGACUCCAGAAYUAAAGCAAAAACUGCUCCAGAAYUAAAGCAAAAACUSCUCUUGCAUCUUUAAAGGGUGAAAAUUUCAUUAGGAUCAAGAACGCUAAACAAAAGCCACUGUAAAAAUACCUGUUUGUUCAAUUUAAGAAACUUGUUCUUUAUGUGGCUGUUUGUUUAGUUUUUGUAAUUAAGAGUUUCUGAGGUGAACCAUCACAUUCCCCAGGCUUUCAAUUCAUAUUUGCUGGUGUGUACUUCAGUUUGGRUAUGUAAAAUGACAUGUUUAUACUUCAAGGAAUCAUUGGGUAGAUCAGAGGUUCUUAAAUAGGGUUUCUCUUUUAAAUCUGAGUUUCUAGGGCAUCCAAGGCAUUUAACUUACUAGGCUGAUGGUUGUUGUCUGAAAUUAUAUAUGUAUAACAUUCCCAACAUUCCUAUGUCUAUAAAUGGAUCAAAAAGGUUGUUAGAAAUAGUUCAAAGGUGCUAAAACAUUAUGUAGUUAGAUGUAAACACACAUUUCGGUUACCAAAAUAAAUGAAGUGGGAAAAUAAAAGGAUAUUAUGCACAAAAGAUUGUUCUUUCAUAAUUCUUAGAGAGAAUUCCUCAGACAAUUUAAACCACGAUCAGUAACAAGUUUUGCUACAGCACUGUCUUCCCACAUAAACAGUAUGAUAACACACUUUAAGGAUUUACAAAAAGGUGAUCAAAGUAGUGCUGUUUAAAAAGAAAAAAGAGAAAACGCCAGGCUUUUCCUGCAGUUUCUGAAGGCAUUUAUAUAUUCACAUAAAAGGCAUGUCCUGUGAAAGCCUUGGUGUGCACUGAGGCCUGGAGAAGGAGUUUCUGGUAUUGCCAGGCUGAACGUCUGCCUGCUCCCUUUUGCCAAUAUUUUUGCCCAGUUGCCACAUCACAUCAGAAAUUCAGGCAACAAUCUUUAUGCUGCUGCAAAAUUUUAGAAAAGUGAAUUGAUUGCCCUCUGGGCUCAAAACUUUAUUUCCUUUUUGUUGUCAUGCUCAGACUCAUGGUGAGUUCUUGGUGAGCAGUUCUUUGCCUAUACUGAAGGAGUGUAAAAACCCAUCAGUUGGCAAAUGUAGACUGAAAAUUGGACUGGUUAAAAGGGAUGUUAGGGAUUUUAGGAUUGCAUUACAUAUAAAUGGUUGUAAUUCUCAAAGCAAAAUUUGUUUCCAGUCAAGUAUUUUCACAUGGUGUCUUCCCUCACAAAAGCAUCACAGAUUUUCUGCCCGUGAUGAAGCUUCCAAACACUCCCGGUGCUUAAUUCAGCUCAAAUUGCCUUUUUUUGGGGGGGGUCUGGGCUUGAAUUUUUUUCUUCUUGUUUCUCCCAAAUGGCUUUUGUGGAAUACAAAG